rnacentral:rRNA from 1 species
GACGAGGGGUCCUAGCGUUGUUCGGAAUCAUUGGGCGUAAAGCGUGUGUAGGUUGCCAUUCAAGUCAGUUGUGAAAGCCCCGGGCUUAACCCGGGAAGUGCUUCUGAUACUGUUUGGCUUGAGUACUGGAGAGGAUAGUAGAAUUCCUGGUGUAGUGGUGAAAUACGUAGAUAUCAGGAGGAAUACCGGUGGCGAAGGCGGCUAUCUGGCCAUGUACUGACACUGAGACACGAAAAGCGUGGGGGAGCAAACAGG